AUUGAACGCUAGCGGGAUGCCUUACACAUGCAAGUCGAACGGAGUGGCGAACGGGUGAGUAAUGUAUCGGAACGUGCCCAGUAGCGGGGGAUAACUAAGAGAAAGCGUAGCUAAUACCGCAUACUCUUGGAGCGGACGUUAUCGGAUUGGCUAGUUGGUGGGGGAACGGCUCACCAAGGCGACGAUCCGUAGCUGGGUUGAGAGGACGACCAGCCACACUGGGACUGAGAAACGGCCCAGACUCCUACGUGAGGCAGCAGUGGGGAAUUGUGGACAAGGGGGUAAACCCUGAUCCAGCCAUCCCGCGUGUGCGAUGAAGGCCUUCGGGUUGUAAAGCACUUUUGGCAGGAAAGCGGUACCUGCAGAAUAAGCACCGGCUAACUACGUGCCAGCAGCCGCGGUAAUAC
rnacentral:rRNA from 1 species